UUGAGUCUUUGGCAUUCUAUUCCAUUAUUGCAAAAGCUCUCCUUUGGUUUUGAAAUAUUCUCCAGUACUUGCCUUUGAAGAGCUCUUGUCUGAAGACAAGCUAGAAACCAAGAUGUUUUUGUUACUGAAUGGCCCAAGAGGACUGGCUUAAGUGGCAGGUUUCCAUCCACUGCCUGCCCUGUGGUAUAUACAGCACAGUCAUCUCCCUCGGGCAUUGCAGUAGAAGCACAGAGAGCCUUAAACUACCAUCCCACGGUGAGCCUUUGGCAGUGACUCUGGGACUCACUCUGCUCUUGACCAUCAUCUUCUCCAGAUCCUUGCUGAUGUCAGCAAACAAUGGCCUCUUGUCUGGCUCCUGCUUCCAGCACUGCAGCAUCAGGCGGUACCUGGAGGGAAGCACAGGGCCUAGAGGAUGAGGGUCAGAGGUUGGCUGGGCAGAAAAGGCCCACUCACAUUUCCUCACUGCAGUUGUCCGGCCUCUCCAUCCUAUGGCCCGUCUUGAGAAGGUUGAAGAGUCGCUCAGGAGGAAUUCCAGGGUAGGGGUUGCCUCCCAGGGUCACAAUUUCCCAGAGCAGCACACCAAAGGACCACCUGUGGCAAGGAAGGGAAGCAGUAAGCAACUUUCUGGACCCUGGAGCCUCCCUGGUGGACCCCGGAUGUCUAUGUCUGUAACUGACCCAAUCAGCUGCCAGUGUCUAAAUGGAUGACACACAGGGAUCUUAACCUGGCUCCGCUGCACAGUCAGGUGUGUAACAGAGCUGGGACGCUCAAGCCUCUGCCACUGAAGCAACGACCUUAAAGCAUCGAGGACCUAGCAACAGAACUCAGGGUAUGCUGUGAAAUGUUCAUAAAGUCUUAUUACAACUUUUACAGAAAACGUUUAAUGGUAAGAGAAAACUAUGGGGUGGGGAUAAAAACAUCCCAAUGCAUGUGUCAUCUGGCGAUAAAAUAUGUAUGUGCACACUACAAGAAAGACCCCGAAGGUAAACAUGAGGGAGGGACCCACUGUGAUUCAAGGCUGUUUGUCUCCUAUUGGGUUUUUCUUUGCAUUUUCCAAUUCUUCUAAAUCAAACGGGUUGUUAUCAGAAAACUAUUGUUUGGAAUUGCUUAAGAAAGAACCCUAUUUUCAUGGCUCUAUUCAAGAUCUGCCAUCUCUGCAAGACUGCACAACACUUUAGAAGCAAGUAUUUUGUCUUUAGAAAAACAAAUCAUGUCUUGUCAUCUGUCUGCAAGAGCAAGGGCUCCCAUCUUUAAGUAGUUUGGGAUACACCAGUUUACAAACUCAGGUAAGGCUAUCUGUAGUGGAGUUCCCCAGCCCCACCUGUACACAGGUAAACAGCACAGAUACCCUGUCUGACUCAUGUCUUCCAGCAGUCUUGGGAGAGGAGAGGAGGAGGUAUGUGGAAGAAUAAGGGGCCAGAAGUGGGCUAUGACUGCCCCAUCCCACACCCCACUCCUACACACUCCACUGUGGUUGGCAGAACUGCUGCCUGGGCCCAGCCAUUUGCUGACUGAAUACCUGCUGAUCAAGAGAGCCCGCGUUCAUCAAUGACUAACAUUAUAAACGGGUAUUUGGAACCAGCAGUGUCCCCGAGCCAAGCUGCAGAGACCAUCAUGGCCCAACCUCCCCACCCCAGGAUGGCAACGCCCUCACUUACACAUCGCUUUGAGUGGUAUAGAUGUGAUCAAAAAGGGACUCAAUUGCCAUCCAUUUGACGGGAAUCCGGCCCUAGAGGUAGUGAAUGAAGGCAUUAGUAUGGCUGUAAGCUCUGUAACCAAGGUAGUCAGCUAUGGCCCUUGAGUUCUAACCCCCAUACCCUUUAGCCCCAGCUCUGGAGGGAACAUGGGAUAUUCUGUCUUGGGUACAGACCAACUGUGCACACUCCUGAAGGGGCCACAGCUCCAGUCUGACCCUUUGGCUUUGUUGAGAUUCUAUUGGGAGUCAAGAAAACGGCCCACAGCCACAGUGGGCAACCUUUCACAUGCCACAGCCCUGCAAAGAACAAGAAAUCCACCUGUGGCAGGCUUGCUAGGGCUCUGAGGUACCCUGGGUGGGGCAGAAUAGUGCUCCCUGGGGCAGAACAGUGCUCCCCAGCACAGAGCCAAGAACCUGUCCUGCAAGGUAAGUUUCUUGCUAGUAUCCAAGAGCACAGGCACUUAGGAAACCAACACCCAGUUUCCAUCCUGUAAACUUUGUUUGCCAUCAGCAAGGCUCAUGUGAGAAACCUCGAGGAAGAAAACACUUGUGCACCAAAGCUGGAUUCUCCUUCUCUUGGGGUUCUACCAGCAGCUCAGACUGGGUACCCUCCCCACUCCCCACCCUGCAGCAGGGGCUGGCCUCUAUUCUAACAAAUCCUUUCCAAAAACAGGAUAAAGAGCUCAAUGAA